CGGCGAGUCGGCGGGCGGACACCUGGCAGCGCUGGCAGCGCUGACGCCCAACGAUCCGCGGUUCCAGCCCGGGUUCGCCGAC
rnacentral:tRNA from 1 species